AACUUCGUGCCAGCAGCCGCGGUAAUACGAAGGGACCUAGCGUAGUUCGGAAUUACUGGGCUUAAAGAGUUCGUAGGUGGUUGAAAAAGUUGGUGGUGAAAUCCCAGAGCUUAACUCUGGAACUGCCAUCAAAACUUUUCAGCUAGAGUUUGAUAGAGGAAAGCAGAAUUUCUAGUGUAGAGGUGAAAUUCGUAGAUAUUAGAAAGAAUACCAAUUGCGAAGGCAGCUUUCUGGAUCAUUACUGACACUGAGGAACGAAAGCAUGGGUAGCGAAGAGGAUUAGAUACCCUCGUAGUCCAUGCUGUAAACGAUGUGUGUUAGACGUUGGAAAUUUAUUUUCAGUGUCGCAGCGAAAGCGAUAAACACACCGCCUGGGGAGUACGACCGCAAGGUUAAAACUCAAAUGAAUUGACGGGGACCCGCACAAGUAGUGGAGCAUGUGGUUUAAUUCGAAGAUACGCGCAGAACCUUACCAACACUUGACAUGUUCGUCGCGACUUUAAGAGAUUAAAGUUUUCGGUUCGGCCGGACGAAACACAGGUGCUGCAUGGCUGUCGUCAGCUCGUGUCGUGAGAUGUUGGGUUAAGUCCCGCAACGAGCGCAACCCUCACUUUUAGUUGCCAUCAUUUAGUUGGGCACUCUGAAAGAACUGCCAGUGAUAAGCUGGAGGAAGGUGGGGAUGACGUCAAGUCCUCAUGGCCCUUACGUGUUGGGCUACACACGUGCUACAAUGGUAUCUACAACAGGAAGCAAGACAGCGAUGUUAAGCAAAUCCUUAAAAGAUACCUCAGUUCGGAU
rnacentral:rRNA from 1 species